CCCGGCUAACUUCGUGCCAGCAGCCGCGGUAAUACGAAUGGGGCUAGCGUUGCUCGGAAUCACUGGGCGUAAAGCGCACGUAGGCGGCUCGUUAAGUCAGGGGUGAAAGCCUGGAGCUCAACUCCAGAACUGCCCUUGAUACUGGUGAGCUCGAGUCCGGGAGAGGUGAGUGGAACUGCGAGUGUAGAGGUGAAAUUCGUAGAUAUUCGCAAGAACACCAGUGGCGAAGGCGGCUCACUGGCCCGGUACUGACGCUGAGGUGCGAAAGCGUGGGGAGCAAACAGG
rnacentral:rRNA from 1 species